AUGGUCUCCUCCAGGGUACUAGGUGCCCCUAUGACCAAAAGCUACCUUGAGGUGGUGAAGAAGAACCAAGUCAACUUCGGAGGCCCUCUGUUGGAGCAAUUCGAAGCUGCUGCUGUAGUGACGGAAACUGUGACUCAGAAGAAUUGCAUCGCUCAACAGAAAUGGGGGCCUGUGGUAGCCUCCAGGGUUAGUACCCGGAACAAGAAAGAUAACAGACCUGUUAUACAAAAAGCUCAAGAGUUGAAGCAAAUCAAAAACCUGGAAAAACCUACGUUGAGAAAAGGUGACUUGGAGGGAAUAUGGAGGAAGGAAGAAAUCAAAGCCAGACAGAGAUCCAGAGAGAGAUAUACUUGA
rnacentral:rRNA from 1 species